UUAGAGGAAGACUGAGCAGUAUUUUUCACUCUUAAAAAGAGGAUUUCAUUGAAAAGGUCUCCCACAACAUCACAGACUGAAAGUCUCCAGUCCAAACUUUGGCUGCUGUCCUGCAGCAGUUUGUGGAGGCAACUGGGGGAAAAAAUCUAUGGUGAAAAGGGUUUGCAGAGACCUUCUGAAAAAAAGGGGGAAAAGAGAAGAAGGAAGUGCCCGACACUCCACAGAGCCCUGAUGAACCAGAUGGCGCAGGCCUUUUGAAACCCACUACUCAGAUGGAAGAGGCAAUGGAAGAGGGAGAUUGUGACCCACCACAGCCCUUACAUGCGGAAGAACCUAUGGAUGAAAGCUUGGAUGCUGAUUCAGGCUACCACAGUACAAUGGAUGAAGACCUGCGGCCAGACAGUGCUGAGAACCAAGCUGGAAAGAGUCUACAGCCCCUAAAUGUUCUCCCCAUUCCUAAGAUGUAGAUAUGUUUCUAAACUAAUCUUUCCA